GCCGGAGUGUCGAAAUUGGCAGCCGAGAUGGACUCAAAAUCCAUUGUGGGAAACCACGUGCGGGUUCGAGUCCCGCCUCCGGCA
rnacentral:tRNA from 2 species